GCAAAAUGGGAGCAAUAAACUGUGUCUGUUUUAAGAACAAAUUUUCAAAAUAGCACAGCCAGAUUCAUGGCAACCUUGAGUAUCCCCCCAUUCAAGUGCUGUCGCAGCGAAUUAUGACAGAUUCCAUUUGGGAUUGCCCCACCAACAGCACGGCAAGUGUCCCUCAUCUUGAGGCUCUGCCCACUUCCUGUCGUCGGUUUUCAAUUUGCAUUUGCUGCAGCCACGGCUCCUCAUCUGGAACCGUCUGUAGCUCUGAUAAAUGAUUUCUUUUUAAUGCUUCGAUGGGCCCAACCAAACGGAGCCCGUCCAAACCUACAGCUUCCAUUUGCAACAGUCGGAUGAGAACGAAGGGACGGGAGGAAGUGGUGGAUAUUCUGGACGGUGGACGGAGUCGCACAACCACGACAAGAUGACGACGACAACCAUGAUGGGCAAGGAGCAGGAGCAGGGGAAGAUGCAGAUCUAGGGAUACGAAUUGGGACCCAAACAAUGUCAGUCACAGGACUGUAAACCAUGUACUUUAAACUUUACUUUAAACAAUGCAUGAAGAGUUGAGAUUAUAUAAAAACAAAGAUGCACAAUGACGGUUGUCACUGAGAAAUACUUGCGGUCACGGCUAUGAAAUGGUAUUGGUUUGUUUCACUCAAGGCUUCACUGCAUGACAAGUUUCUGGUCAAAAGGAUAAUGCUCGGAACGGGCAGAAAGGCAAGGACAUGGGCAAAUUGAAGUGCCAGUGGGUGUGAGAAGUGGCUGCCCAUAAAAGGCAGCAAAACACAUUCGCACACACAGACAUGCAGGAGUAACCAAAAAAAAAUAAAAAAAAUAUAGUACAAAAACCGCAAAAUAAGCAAAAGACAUUUCAACAUCAUCCCGCUCAAUUUUCCAUCUCUUUUCCCGCUCGGCUGGAUUUCCUUUUGUUACACUUACUCCUGCUCACUGUUUUCAUUUCCUUCAGCUCGUGGACAUAUGUAAAUAUGAGUGCAGCAGAGCAAUCAUAACAAAAAUGCUGCACACUCAAAUUAUCCCUAAAUAAUUUAGAUCUGUGCGGGCGAACAAACUGGGCAACUUUACCUUUUGAAGCCUGUGUGUGCGAUGCUGAUUUCGGGUUUGCUUAUCUUUCAUUUCAUAUUUUUGGCCGAAAGGGAAGCGGAAGAGGCAGAGGAGGCGGCAGUGGCGGCGGAGGAGGAGAAGAUGGUGGUGGUGGAAGAGGA